UGGGGAAUUUUCCGCAAUGAGCGAAAGCCUGACGGAGCAAUGCCGCGUGGAGGUGGAAGGCCUACGGGUCGUCAACUUCUUUUCUCGGAGAAGAAACAAUGACGGUAUCUGAGGAAUAAGCAUCGGCUAACUCUGUGCCAG
rnacentral:rRNA from 1 species